UUUAGGAUUAGGACCUGAGCGGAUUAGAGGCAGUGGAAGGCGAGGAUGUAGAGGAGGCUGCUCCUGGGGCUGGCUCCAGGCUCCGGCGAGGCCUCAGGUGACACGGCCAGGGAUAAGUGAUGCUCUCUUUGGGGGGAGAAUGGAACUGCCCAUAGGACCUGGGUUCGGAGUCAGAGCCCAACCAAAGGGCUAUUCGGCAAGAGCUGCCUCGAUUUUACAAAGUAGGAGCCACAGAGGCCACUCCAUCAAGCAGCCCCGAAGAAGACAAGACCAAGGACACCCCACAGAUGCCCCGACUUCCUUCUGACCCCUAGAGAUCAAAUCCUUGGUGUCUCCCGGCUGAGAGGGCUCUGAAGGAGGAACCGCUGUCCCGUGCUUGUGUGAGACCCUCCCUGUACUCUGAAGUCCUCCAGAGCUCUGCCUUCUCACUCCCUUUGUUCAGUCUCCCGUGGAAAUGCAGACACCCCCCAGUUCCACUCUCCAUGUUCUUGUCUGGACCAUCGGGGCCACACCUGGUCACCCCACCCCGCUCAUCGGAUGGUGGGGCAGUCCUAGCUCCAGCGACCAAAAAUAAAUAUUAAC